AUUUCUUCACAUAAUUCAUCAAAAUUCUUGUAUAAUCGUGUUUAGCAUGUAUCAUUGAGUAGGAAUCAGGGUUUGGUUUGAAGAAUUUGGUCAAGAAUCGUGCAGAUCCAAAGCUUGAACAUGAACAAGGAAGCUUCAAUUUGAGCUGGAUUCAAGGUGUUUCAAUUGCCAAUUCGUGCAUAAAGCUUCAGUAGAGGAUUGAGGGAGAAGAUCUGGAAGGUUUGAGAGCUGUAGCACACGAAAU
rnacentral:lncRNA from 1 species